rnacentral:rRNA from 1 species
UACGAGGGGGGCGAGCGUUGUUCGGAAUUACUGGGCGUAAAGGGCGCGUAGGUGGUUAUGUAAGUGAGAUGUGAAAUCCCCGGGCUCAACCUGGGAACUGCAUUUGUGACUGUAGAGCUGGAGUGCGGCAGAGGGGGAUGGGAAUUCCGCGUGUAGCAGUGAAAUGCGUAGAUAUGCGGAGGAACACCGAUGGCGAAGGCAAUCCCCUGGGCCUGCACUGACGCUCAUGCACGAAAGCGUGGGGAGCAAACAGG